rnacentral:lncRNA from 1 species
AUGAAUCCGAACGGCGGAGCUUGCAGUGAGCUGAGAUCCGGCCACUGCACUCCAGCCUGGGCGACAGAGCAAGACUCCGUCUCAAAAAAAAAAAAAAAAAAGAUGCUGGACACAAGUCACCAAUGUUCUUGUGUUAAAAGAAGCAUUCGUGUCCUAAAGAGUAAGGGUGGUGUUUCAGGACCAUGGACAGUAGCACAUGGCUCUGGAUGCCUAAAAAGGCUCCCAACACUCAUCUCACCCUGCUCCAGAAGGGCUCAUCAAGGUUGGCAGUGGACACCUUGCAGGUUAAAUCCACGGUCUUCCUCCAAGUCAAGCUUAGAAAACUCUUCCCAGCAAAAUAGCACAUAGUAGGAACUGAAUAAAUUUUUGUUCAAUUAAUUAACAAAUUUAUUACAGCAAAGAGUUAUACUUAUGUGCUCCAUUCACCCAACAGAUAUUUAUUUAAGCCCCUGUUGUGCGACAUGCAUGAACCUUUCAGGCAAGAUGUUUUGUGACUGAGGCCCUUGUUUCGUGGUGUGUAGCUGGUGUCUUAUGAGUACGACAGUAGGCGCUACAUGGGGCUGCUUCCUGCCUGCACCUCUGGUAGAAAGUGAAGCCUAAUACAAUUCUUCCUGUUUUCUUCUGUUAAAAUUCUGGACCACUUGUUUGUCCAUCAACAUUUCUUCUUCUCUUCUGAUUUCUGUCACUCUCCCUAGAGCCUAAGACAUUAGAGAAUGCAAAUAAGGUCUUUCUCUCUCAUCUACAUUCGCAGCCCUACAGCACCAUUUCAGAUUUUGUACUGUGCAACCAAAUAUUUCCCCACUCCUACUCCCAUUUCCGUCACUCUCCCUAGAGCCUGAAACAUCAGAGAAUGCAAAUAAGGUAUUUCUUCCCCUGUCUUCAUUCCCAGCCCUGUGGCACCUAACAUUUCAGAUUUUGUACUGUGCAACCGAAUCUUUUCCUACUCCUACUCCCACUUCCAUCCCUACUCCUUAAACAAGUACUAGUCUUAAAGGAAAAACACCGCUUUUUGUCAUUGUUUCUUCUGAAGUACCUAGCACAGAGCCUGGCUUGUAGUUGUGUGUCAGUAAAUAAAUGAGAAUAAAAGCCCCAUGAGGGUGGGGACUUCUGACUAUUUUAUAAUAUGUUAUGAUAUGUUAGACAUUCAAUAAAUGUAUGUUCAAUUAAUUGAUUAAUAAAUUAACAUAUUUAUCUGUGAUAAAUAUCACAGGGAAAGGUUAUGCUUAUCUGCUCAUUAAUUCAACCAGCAAAUAUUUAUUAAGCAUCUAUCAUGUAUCGUACACUAGGAAUAUAACAGGCAAAAAUCUUCAUCCUAUUGGAACUUACAUUCUAGUGGGGGAAAUAGAAAAGAAACAAGUAAAUACACAGAAAAAUGGCAUAAUAUAAUUUGAGACAGUGGGUAGUGAUAUAAAGAAAAUAAAGCAACAAUGAACAGUGGUGGUUAUUUUGGGUCACAUGGUCAGGAAAGUCCUCUCUGAAGGAUGGCAUCAGGGCAGAGACUUGAAUGUAGUGAAGGAAAGGCAAGGAUCAGGGGAAGAGGGUCUCACGGAGAAAAUCAAAUUUAAAGGCCCUGGGCUGGAAUGAACAUUUGAGGAACACAAGAAUCUAAUGUGGCUGUAGGGACUGAGAGUGGGGGAGGGUGAUAAAAAAUGAAGUCAGUGAAAUCGUGUUAAUUAUUUACAUAUUAAUUUACAGAUCAACUUUGAACCACAAAACACACACACACACACACACACACACACAAAAUAUAUAUAAAAGGGUACGUAGUAGGCCAGGCACAGUGGCUCAUGCCUGUAAUCCCAGCACUUUAGGAAGCUGAGGUGGAUGGAUCACAAGGUCAAGAGUUCGAGAUCACCUGGCCAGCAUGGUGAAACCCCAUCUCUACUAAAAAUACAAAAAUUAGCCAGGCGUGGUGAUGCACGCCUGUAAUUCCAGCUACUCAGGAGACUGAGGCAGGAGAAUCACUGGAACCUGGGAGGCAGAGGUUGCAGUGAUCCAAGAUUGCGCCACUGCACUCCAGCUUGGGUGACACAGUGAAACUCAAUCUGCAAAAAAAAAAAAAAAAAAAAAAAGGGUACAUAGUAAAGUAUCCCUCCAAUCCAGGUCACCCUGCCACCUAGUUCCCUUUCUGAUAGGCAACUAAUGUCAUUGGUUUCUUGUGUGUCCUGUGCAUAUAUAAACAAACACGUAUAUUUAUAUAUUAAUGCCUUCUUUUACAGACCUAGUAAUAUACUGUACACUGUUCUAUACUGUGUUCUUUUCUCUUAACAUAUCUUGAAAAUCUUCCUAAAUACUUUGUUUGCAAUUGUGUGUAUUGUGAGGAUGACCUGUAACUUGUUUAACCAAUCCCCUACUGGUGCGUAAUUAUAUUUUUAAUAUUUUUCUAUAAUGAAAACCCUACCACAAGCCUUUAAACCUAAGGUUAAGGCUUUGAAGUAACAUCAACCAGGGUUCAAAUUCUGGUUUUUACUUAGAAGCUAAGUGACUUUGGGAUGCUAUGCGGGCUCUGUUCUCUGUUUCCUCAGCUGAGGAAUGAGGAUCCUAAUACUGUCAUGACAACCUUUUGGGGAGAUGUAUGUGAAGUGCUCAGCAUGGUACCUAGCCCAAGAGAGUAAUAUUGUCCUAACAAAAUUCACCACAUACUGAGUGCUGCUGUGUACUGGGCUCCAAGCUGAGAAUUCACAUGUUGUCUCAUGUCAUCUUCACAACCCUAAAAGGUAAGGACUACUAUUUCCACAUUUGCAAUGUGCCACUCUCCUUUCAUUUCCAUUCCUCCAUCCAUCUACUCCAUAUUCCUUCAUCCAUAUCCA